CCUACGGGUGGCAGCAGUCGAGAAUCAUUCACAAUGGGGGAAACCCUGAUGGUGCGACGCCGCGUGGGGGAAUGAAGGUCUUCGGAUUGUAAACCCCUGUCAUGUGGGAGCAAAUUAAAAAGAUAGUACCACAAGAGGAAGAGACGGCUAACUCUGUGCCAGCAGCCGCGGUAAUACAGAGGUCUCAAGCGUUGUUCGGAAUCACGGGGCGUAAAGCGUGCGUAGGCUGUUUCGUAAGUCGUGUGUGAAAGGCGCGGGCUCAACCCGCGGACGGCACAUGAUACUGCGAGACUAGAGUAAGGGAGGGGGAACCGGAAUUCUCGGUGUAGCAGUGAAAUGCGUAGAUAUCGAGAGGAACACUCGUGGCGAAGGCGGGUUCCUGGACAUUAACUGACGCUGAGGCACGAAGGCCAGGGGAGCGAAAGGGAUUAGAUACCCUGGUAGUC
rnacentral:rRNA from 1 species